GACGAACGCUGGCGGCGCGCUUAAUACAUGCAAGUCGAGCGAGAACCAGGGCUUCGGCUCUGGGGACAGCGGCGAACGGGUGAGUAACACGUGGGUAAUCAACCCCCGACACCGGGAUAGCCCAGGGAAACUUGGAUUAAUACCGGAUGCCCCGUCUGGCCUUCGGGCCGGCCGGAAAAGGGUAGCUUCGGCCUCUGGUCGGGGACGAGCCCGCGGCGGAUUAGCUUGUUGGUGAGGUAAAGGCUCACCAAGGCGACGAUCCGUAGCUGGUCUGAGAGGACGAUCAGCCACACUGGGACUGAGACACGGCCCAGACUCCUACGGGAGGCAGCAGUAGGGAAUCUUGCGCAAUGGGCGAAAGCCUGACGCAGCGACGCCGCGUGAGGGAAGAAGGCCUUCGGGUUGUAAACCUCUUUCAGGAGGGACGAAGCCACUCGGGUUAAUAGCCUAGAGGGUGACGGUACCUCCAGAAGAAGCCCCGGCUAACUACGUGCCAGCCGCCGCAGUAA
rnacentral:rRNA from 1 species